CAAGCCCGUGUGAAGCCCUUUCGACGAGUCGAGUUGUUUGGGAAUGCAGCUCCAAAUGGGUGGUAAAUUUCAUCUAAAGCUAAAUAUCUGUCAGAGACCGAUAGCGCACAAGUAGAGUGAUCGAAAGAUGAAAAGCACUUUGAAAAGAGAGUCAAACAGUACGUGAAAUUGUUGAAAGGGAAGCGCUUGCAACGAGACUCGUUCGCGGGUGUUCAGCCGUCCCCCGGGGCGGUGCACUCUCCCGCGUUUCGGGCCAGCAUCGGUUUCGGCGGCCGGACAAAGGCCCCGGGAACGUAGCUCUCUCCGGAGAGUGUUAUAGCCUGGGGUGCAAUGCGGCCAGCUGGGACCGAGGAUCGCGCAUUCGCUAGGAUGCUGGCGUAAUCGUUGUCAGCGACCCGUCUUGAAACACGGACCAAGGAGUCGACCAAUCUGGCAAGUUUUAGGGCGUAAACCCCUGAAGCGCAAUGAAAGUGAACGUAGGUGGGAGCCUUCGGGUGCACCAUCGACCGAUCCUGAUGUCUUCGGAUGGAUUUGAGUAUGAGCCCGGCUGGUCGGACCCGAAAGAUGGUGAACUAUGCGUGAAUAGGGUGAAGCCAGAGGAAACUCUGGUGGAGGCUCGCAGCGGUUCUGACGUGCAAAUCGAUCGUCAAAUUUGCGCAUAGGGGCGAAAGACUAAUCGAACUAUCUAGUAGCUGGUUCCCGUCGAAGUUUCCCUCAGGAUAGCAGCAACGAAAACAGUCUCAUGAGGUAGAGCAAACGAUUAGAGGUCUUGGGGUUGUAUUCB
rnacentral:rRNA from 2 species